CAAUUGAAGGGUUUGAUCCUGGCUCAGAACGAACGCUAGCAGCGUGGAUUAGGCAUGCAAGUCGUGCGCGAAAGUCUUCGGACGAGUAAAGCGGCGAAAGGGUGAGUAACACGUAAUCAACGUACCCCCCAGACCGGGAUAACCUCUAGAAAUGGUGGAUAAUACCGGAUGGACUUAUGGCUGGGCAUCCAGUCAAUAGUAAACGGUGGCUUCGGCUGCUGCUGGGGGAGCGGGUUG
rnacentral:rRNA from 1 species